rnacentral:rRNA from 1 species
AAUGGGGGAAACCCUGAUGCAGCAACGCCGCGUGAGUGAUGAAGGCCUUCGGGUCGUAAAGCUCUGUCGUACGGGAAGAUAAUGACGGUACCGUAAAAGAAAGCACCGGCUAACUUCGUGCCAGCAGCCGCGGUAAGACGAGGGGUGCUAGCGUUGUUCGGAAUUACUGGGCGUAAAGCGCAUGUAGGCGGUUAUUUAAGUCAGAUGUGAAAGCCCUGGGCUCAACCCAGGAAGUGCAUUUGAAACUAUUUAACUUGAGUAUCGGAGAGGGCAGUGGAAUUCCUGGUGUAGUGGUGAAAUACGUAGAUAUCAGGAGGAACACCGGAGGCGAAGGCGGCUGCCUGGCCGAAUACUGACGCUGAGAUGCGAAAGCGUGGGGAGCAAA